GGGAAACUUGGACUAAUACCGUAUACGUCCUUCGGGAGAAAGAUUUAUCGGAGUUGGAUGAGCCCGCGUUGGAUUAGCUAGUUGGUGGGGUAAUGGCCUACCAAGGCGACGAUCCAUAGCUGGUCUGAGAGGAUGAUCAGCCACACUGGGACUGAGACACGGCCCAGACUCCUACGGGAGGCAGCAAUGGGGAAUAUUGGACAAUGGGCGAAAGCCUGAUCCAGCCAUGCCGCGUGAGUGAUGAAGGCCCUAGGGUUGUAAAGCUCUUUCAACGGUGAAGAUUAUGACGGUAACCGUAGAAGAAGCCCCGGCUAACUUCGUGCCAGCAGCCGCGGUAAUACUAAGGGGGCUAGCGUUGUUCGGAAUUACUGGGCGUAAAGCGCACGUAGGCGGACUAUUAAGUCAGGGGUGAAAUCCCGGGGCUCAACCCCGGAACUGCCUUUGAUACUGGUAGUCUAGAGUCCGAGAGAGGUGAGUGGAAUUCCGAGUGUAGAGGUGAAAUUCGUAGAUAUUCGGAGGAACACCAGUGGCGAAGGCGGCUCAGUGGCUCGGUACUGACGCUGA
rnacentral:rRNA from 1 species